AUUGAACCACUUCGCAUAGUCUUCUACUCUUGCUUUAUGAAGAAAUUGAUAAGACAGACUCCCAAAGGAAGAAUGGAGUAUAUUUAUAAUAUAUAUUAUGAUGUUUCUAGAAAUUUUAUAUACAAAAUAGAUAAUAGUGCUUAUCCGAUCUUUCAAGAACUAAAACAUAUACUUUUGGGAUAAAUUUUUGGUAGACGUAUUUAAUUAUCA
rnacentral:lncRNA from 1 species